rnacentral:rRNA from 1 species
GAUGAACGCUGGCGGCGUGCCUAAUACAUGCAAGUCGAGCGAACAGACGAGGAGCUUGCUCCUCUGACGUUAGCGGCGGACGGGUGAGUAACACGUGGAUAACCUACCUAUAAGACUGGGAUAACUUCGGGAAACCGGAGCUAAUACCGGAUAAUAUAUUGAACCGCAUGGUUCAAUAGUGAAAGACGGUUUUGCUGUCACUUAUAGAUGGAUCCGCGCCGCAUUAGCUAGUUGGUAAGGUAACGGCUUACCAAGGCAACGAUGCGUAGCCGACCUGAGAGGGUGAUCGGCCACACUGGAACUGAGACACGGUCCAGACUCCUACGGGAGGCAGCAGUCGGGAAUCUUCCGCAAUGGGCGAAAGCCUGACGGAGCAACGCCGCGUGAGUGAUGAAGGUCUUCGGAUCGUAAAACUCUGUUAUUAGGGAAGAACAAAUGUGUAAGUAACUAUGCACGUCUUGACGGUACCUAAUCAGAAAGCCCCGGCUAACUACGUG